GGGCUUGUGUCCUUCCAAUCCCAUUGGUGGCUGCACAGUGGGCAGAGUCCUCGCUGCGUGCCUGGCCCAACAGAAUUGCAGGGCGUGGUGUGGAACACAGAAAGAGAUAGAGAGACUCAUCCUCCAGCCGGGGCAAUUAGCAAGGACUCAUGGCAGGAUGACAGCUGGCUCUUCAAUCCAUGACUUUAGCUGAUCUACCUGCACUUGGGCGGUGUCCUUCUCCAUGCCCAGGGUGAAGACGGCGUGCAGGGCAGCUCGAAGGAGUCUCUUCUUUCUAGGAGUCCCCAGGGCUAAGGUAAAACCCCUGCGACC